GUGAGAACUCAGCUUUAUGAUGUAUGGGAAGACGAGCCGACGCCGGCCGGCCAGGCGCAUGGGUAGGACGGCGUGUGUGAGCUGUGCUGCUGUGAUUGUGGCAGAUGAUGAUGCAUCCACGUCGCUUAUUCUACCCGUGGCUCCCUAGCUCACGUCUUCCUUCUCUCUGGAGGAGGCAGAACCUCAGAGAGGAGGAGAGAGGGAGGAAGAGACCAGCCUACAAAAAAGAAGGCGUGUACCUGCAAAAGGGGGAGGUGCACUUGUGCCUGUCAGCAAGGGGCGGGCAGUGGGCACUGCCAAAACCUUAGCCAAUCAGAUUCUAGUACAAAUCCACCAAUCAGAGACAGAGGAAAUGCCAGGAGAGACAGACAGGAAGCUGAGCAAAUGAGCCUUGAUGAGAGAGAGGGGGUGGAGGAUGGGAAGGAGGGGAGGAAAUGGGGCCCUGGGAGAGGAUUGUGUGUGUGUGUGUGUGUGUGUGUGUGUGCGUGUGUAAAAAUGUAAAAAUGUAACAUAGCACAUGCUUUGUCUCGUGUGUUUGUUAUAAGAUAUGUUCCCAUAUAUAAAUGUAGACACGCCAGUCAUGCGUGUACUGUAAAAUAACAGUUGGAUGAUGGAGAAGAUGAGCAACAGAGCAUUAAAAAAAGAAACAAUAAUACUGUGAAAUAGGAGGGUGAGACAGAGAAGACGUGUUAGUAGUAAAGAAAAACAGAAAGUUGUAAAAAUGUGAACGGACGGGGAGCAAGAUUUAGACAUUCCUGCUGUUUGGGGAGGAAAAGAAAAACAAGUUGGUGUCAUUUUGUUGUUUUCCUUUCUCCUCCUUGAUUUGAAUGUUUACACGACCAUUUAUCUGUUGAGUGAGUUUCAUGAUCUUUGGGCCCUGGAAACCUCUUAAAAACCCAAGUGCAUAAAUUACAAAGACACAGAAGUCAGUACGUGAGUACAUUUUUUUUUCCAGUUCAGCCUUUUCACUAUCAAAUUUCUCCUGUAGCGUUUGUAAGUAACAUUUGUGUGGAUAAGUUAUAGGAGGAUGAUGUGAUGAAGGGAAUAAAAGAGAAAAAAAUGCUGAGAAAACA
ensembl:lncRNA